UUAGAUUGGUUAUAGAUGAAUUGAAGUUAGUAGUUGGCUAUACUAUUGAACUUGCUCUAACAGCAAGUUUUAUAGUAUAGCCCACUACUAGCUCUAAAUCAUCUAUAGCUA
rnacentral:pre_miRNA from 1 species